UAUCUCCAGAGAGGUACCACCUCCUAGGGAGGUUCGCAUAUACUGCUUCACACUGAGUUUCCAGAACCUAGGAAAAUAAAGGACUUUUGGCUUUAAAAGACUGUUUUUAAACUGAGUUAGGGCCUUCUUUCUGAUCGAACAAACAUAGAAGACCUUCUGUACAAGCGGAGGUUGUGGAAGGGUUGCAAACACUUUGAUCUACUAGGGUCCCAUAAGACCAAUGGGUGAUCUCUGAUCCACAGGCAGACCAAGAGAAGCUUCAGCAGGAGAUGGACAGACUGCACCUAGAAGCCCAGUUGCUGACAGACCAGGAGCAAGAAAGAGCAAACUGAGAGAAAUGGCGCCAGCAUGAGGAGAGAGAAAGAGACAAAGACAUCUGCUCAAGAUGGCGAGACUGGGAGCAAAACCCUAAUCUGAGUUGCUUCCUGGAAUACUCCAAAGAGGGGUAGGGAGCCUGUAGCUAGGACAGCCAACGCCUGGAGGGACAAAGAGGC